GUAUUCUGCUAGCAGCCUUCAGAUGAAGAUGUAGAACUCUCAGCUCUGCCUGUGUCAUACCUGCCUAGAUGCUGGCCUUCUCCCACCUUGAUGAUGAUGGACUGAACCUCUGAACCUAGCCAUUUUUACAAGUGAAAUGUGAAAUUUUGGUCCCAAUAUGCACAGCAAUUGUACAAAUCCAUCAUUUCCCUAAGAGAAGUAGCUUCGACAAAUAUUUGAGGGUAAACACCAAUUACAGUGGAAAAAUGCUUAGUGGAAAGAUUCCUUUCGUCUGGAUUCCUCCUAAGUCUGCAUAGAGUAGAGACAGGAGACAUGUUGAAAUUAGGAAGUGUAUAUAACCCAUUUCACCACGAAAAUUAUGGGAUCCACGUUCACACUGCUCACCUGAAGGUUCACUAUGAAAUGGACUCAGGGGGCAAACAUACAGUAUUUUGAGUCAUGGUCUCUUCCAUGAGCAAAAGUGGCCAGUCAGAUGGAGACUUUGGAAGGAGCUAGGCUUGCUUUUGCACCCACUUUCUCUUCUGUUUCUGGAAACCCAGCUGCCCUUAGGGUACACAUGCUGGCCUCUGAGACAUACUCUUCUGACUUUGUAUUGGCUGUGAAGACAGGCAGGCAGUAGAGAUGGAUGGACCCUUCUCCAGGCAUGGAAAACUGUUUAGAUUGUGAUCAACAGACUCAGCACUGGCAGCUUGCACUGAAGAACUCAGCAUCCUGGGCUCUUAGUUAAGUCUGCAGUGGUUACUAAGCGGGAUGUGGAUUCAUUUUCAAACUAAGCACUCAGCACUGCCCCCAGCUCACAGCUCCGGAGAUGAAAGGUAUCAUUUAUAAAGGGUUCCAUUUGCCUUUGAAGGCUCAAAUGCCUUUGCUCAGCCCUUCCCCCCAAUUUGCUCUGACAUCUGUUUGAGACUAAGAGAUUAUUCAGCUCACAAUGAGAUCUUGUCAGUGCCAGGACUGUUUACUGGAUGAUAUACUUUGUUGCCUUUUAAAAUAAAAGAUGAUGAUUUUCUUGUAAGAAGAAGAAGUGCCUUUGACUUCAAGACCUUCGCUUUUGGGAAAAUACCAUUAUUUGUCAAUUUGUGGUUUUUGAUAAGUUUUUUUUGUUUGUUUUACAAAGCCUUAGAAAAGUUUCGAAAUAUAGUCCAGAAUUCAAAGUACUAUUUUAUCAAAAAGCAGGAAAUAUUACUAUAUUUGGAGCUGGGACAGAGCAGAAACUUGACUAUUUCGACACACAACUUUCUUCACUGCCCUGGUGUUUAGUUAAGAACAUGAAAUAAAGAAAUUGCUUUGUUUUCUUUCAGAGCACACACACACUCAUGACCAAAAGCUUUUCUGUAGCUGUCUUCUAAACAGCUCCUUGGUAGUAGAAGUUAAUUCUGCACUGAAGGUUUUAUGCUAUGUGAGAUGACUUAUCGUUUCAUAAUAAAAAGCAUAAUUUGGAUAACUAUC
rnacentral:lncRNA from 1 species